UUGUUUUAUGUCUGUGAUACUGGUAUGCUGCUAUUGUUCUUUUUUUUUUUUUUACUACUCUCUUUAAAAUAACAUACAUGCUUUCAUAAUAGAAGGAUGGUAUGGGUGAAUGAGGAUGAUGAUGACGUCUUUGAUACUGGCCAUGUAAGCCAAAGUUCCUGAUAUAGAUGCAAGGAAUGCAGACCUCCUUGAUUCCAAUGGUGAAGAAAACAGCAAUUCAUACAGCAAAACUGUACUUGCUGGUGCCUUGUGAUUGUGUGGGCUCAAGUUACUUGUUCUGGCAAAUGAUUUGUGAGCAGAAGUGACACACCAUUGCUAAUGUUGGAACCUAUUUCAAGCUUCAAGUAUUCCAUUGCUCAAGUAAUGCAUAUGGAGUAAGACCUAAAAGUAAACUCCAGCAUUAUGUGCUGGCUUGGAAUCUGGAAAAAUUGGAAGGACCUCAGGUGGCCUAACUGCAAGUUCCUCAUCCUACUCCAUCCCCUGGCCAAACAGCACUCCUUAGAAAAGGCACCCAUCCUGCUAAGCCCUGGGGAGUGGGCUGCCAUCCCUUGCCAGCCUGGGCAAUUACUCAGCCUGGCCGUGUCAUCCUCCCAUGGCAGCCACAGGACUCCCUGCUCUGGACAGAUAUGGCUGCCACGGCCUCUGCCUAUUCACUCUGUUCCCUAGGACAGAGUCCAAGAUGUACUUAAAUAACACUGGGAAAAUGUUGCUAUCUCGCUGGUCUGACACCAAGCUCUAGUAUUCCUGCAGGGGUGAAGCAGUGCGCCACUGCGAACAAAACACCACUGCUUUAUACCCUGGCUGAGCUGCCGGAGUCCGAGGGAGACACAGGAAGCAAAUGGCCAAGCAGCGAUGUGGGAUUCAAUUGUGCUUCACCUUCCCAAUGAAAAUGUCAGGAUGCUUUGGUGAACUGUUCACUAUCUGUUAAGUUCUUAGAGUCAUAUUGAUUUAUUUCAGCUAAUGAUACAGGUAAGAUGCGAAGAGUUUUGUUUUGUUUGGUUGGUUUUUGUCCACUGCUGAGGAUUGAA